rnacentral:rRNA from 1 species
GGGUUGUGAGGUUAAGCGACUAAGCGUACACGGUGGAUGCCCUGGCAGUCAGAGGCGAUGAAGGACGUGCUAAUCUGCGAAAAGCGUCGGUAAGGUGAUAUGAACCGUUAUAACCGGCGAUGUCCGAAUGGGGAAACCCAGUGCAAUUCGUUGCACUAUCGUUAACUGAAUACAUAGGUUAACGAGGCGAACCGGGGGAACUGAAACAUCUAAGUACCCCGAGGAAAAGAAAUCAACCGAGAUUCCCCCAGUAGCGGCGAGCGAACGGGGAGCAGCCCGGAGUCUGAAUCAGCUUGUGUGUUAGUGGAAGCGUCUGGAAAGUCGCAGGGUACAGGGUGAUACUCCCGUACACUAAAACACACAGGCUGUGAACUCGAAGAGUAGGGCGGGACACGUGGUAUCCUGUCUGAAUAUGGGGGGACCAUCCUCCAAGGCUAAAUACUCCUGACUGACCGAUAGUGAACCAGUACCGUGAGGGAAAGGCGAAAAGAACCCCGGCGAGGGGAGUGAAAAAGAACCUGAAACCGUGUACGUACAAGCAGUAGGAGCCCACUAGUUGGGUGACUGCGUACCUUUUGUAUAAUGGGUCAGCGACUUAUAUUCUGUAGCAAGGUUAACCGUAUAGGGGAGCCGCAGGGAAACCGAGUCUUAACUGGGCGUUAAGUUGCAGGGUAUAGACCCGAAACCCGGUGAUCUAGCCAUGGGCAGGUUGAAGGUUGGGUAACACUAACUGGAGGACCGAACCGACUAAUGUUGAAAAAUUAGCGGAUGACUUGUGGCUGGGGGUGAAAGGCCAAUCAAACCGGGAGAUAGCUGGUUCUCCCCGAAAGCUAUUUAGGUAGCGCCUCGUGAAUUCAUCUUCGGGGGUAGAGCACUGUUUCGGCUAGGGGGUCAUCCCGACUUACCAACCCGAUGCAAACUACGAAUACCGAAGAAUGUUAUCACGGGAGACACACGGCGGGUGCUAACGUCCGUCGUGAAGAGGGAAACAACCCAGACCGCCAGCUAAGGUCCCAAAGUCAUGGUUAAGUGGGAAACGAUGUGGGAAGGCCCAGACAGCCAGGAUGUUGGCUUAGAAGCAGCCAUCAUUUAAAGAAAGCGUAAUAGCUCACUGGUCGAGUCGGCCUGCGCGGAAGAUGUAACGGGGCUAAACCAUGCACCGAAGCUGCGGCAGCGACACUAUGUGUUGUUGGGUAGGGGAGCGUUCUGUAAGCCGUUGAAGGUGGCCUGUGAGGGUUGCUGGAGGUAUCAGAAGUGCGAAUGCUGACAUAAGUAACGAUAAUGCGGGUGAAAAACCCGCACGCCGGAAGACCAAGGGUUCCUGUCCAACGUUAAUCGGGGCAGGGUGAGUCGACCCCUAAGGCGAGGCCGAAAGGCGUAGUCGAUGGGAAACAGGUUAAUAUUCCUGUACUUGGUGUUACUGCGAAGGGGGGACGGAGAAGGCUAUGUUGGCCGGGCGACGGUUGUCCCGGUUUAAGCAUGUAGGCGGAUGUUCCAGGUAAAUCCGGAACGUUAUUAACGCUGAGGUGUGAUGACGAGGCACUACGGUGCUGAAGUGACAAAUGCCCUGCUUCCAGGAAAAGCCUCUAAGCAUCAGGUAACAUCAAAUCGUACCCCAAACCGACACAGGUGGUCAGGUAGAGAAUACCAAGGCGCUUGAGAGAACUCGGGUGAAGGAACUAGGCAAAAUGGUGCCGUAACUUCGGGAGAAGGCACGCUGAUGGUAGGUGAAGUGACUUGCUCACGGAGCUGAAAUCAGUCGAAGAUACCAGCUGGCUGCAACUGUUUAUUAAAAACACAGCACUGUGCAAACACGAAAGUGGACGUAUACGGUGUGACGCCUGCCCGGUGCCGGAAGGUUAAUUGAUGGGGUUAUCCUCACGGAGAAGCUCUUGAUCGAAGCCCCGGUAAACGGCGGCCGUAACUAUAACGGUCCUAAGGUAGCGAAAUUCCUUGUCGGGUAAGUUCCGACCUGCACGAAUGGCGUAAUGAUGGCCAGGCUGUCUCCACCCGAGACUCAGUGAAAUUGAACUCGCUGUGAAGAUGCAGUGUACCCGCGGCAAGACGGAAAGACCCCGUGAACCUUUACUAUAGCUUGACACUGAACACUGGUCCUUGAUGUGUAGGAUAGGUGGGAGGCUUUGAAGUGUGGACGCCAGUCUGCAUGGAGCCGUCCUUGAAAUACCACCCUUUAAUGGCUGGUGUUCUAACGUGGGCCCGUGAUCCGGGUUGCGGACAGUGUCUGGUGGGUAGUUUGACUGGGGCGGUCUCCUCCUAAAGAGUAACGGAGGAGCACGAAGGUCAGCUAAUCCUGGUCGGACAUCAGGAGGUUAGUGCAAUGGCAUAAGCUGGCUUGACUGCGAGCGUGACGGCGCGAGCAGGUGCGAAAGCAGGUCAUAGUGAUCCGGUGGUUCUGAAUGGAAGGGCCAUCGCUCAACGGAUAAAAGGUACUCCGGGGAUAACAGGCUGAUACCGCCCAAGAGUUCAUAUCGACGGCGGUGUUUGGCACCUCGAUGUCGGCUCAUCACAUCCUGGGGCUGAAGUAGGUCCCAAGGGUAUGGCUGUUCGCCAUUUAAAGUGGUACGCGAGCUGGGUUUAGAACGUCGUGAGACAGUUCGGUCCCUAUCUGCCGUGGGCGCUGGAGAAUUGAGGGGGGCUGCUCCUAGUACGAGAGGACCGGAGUGGACGCAUCACUGGUGUUCGGGUUGUCAUGCCAAUGGCAUUGCCCGGUAGCUAAAUGCGGAAGAGAUAAGUGCUGAAAGCAUCUAAGCACGAAACUUGCCCCGAGAUGAGUUCUCCCUGACUCCUUGAGAGUCCUGAAGGAACGUUGAAGACGACGACGUUGAUAGGCCGGGUGUGUAAGCGCAGCGAUGCGUUGAGCUAACCGGUACUAAUGAACCGUGAGGCUUAACCUUACAACGCCGAAG